UCCGUGUCGCGGGAUUUUCAUCAGGGUGCUCCCGCGCAGCUUGUUUACCUGCGUUGUGUGUGCUGCAGAAAGUGAAGCUUAUUUUGCUGCUUCUGUCUAACACUGUCUAUCUAUUCGAAACCUUGCAUCCGUCAAAGGGUUGCAACACUCACCCUUCUCCUUUUGUCAAAGUUGAUGUAGCCAUUCUGCGAAGGAAGUGACAGGAUUUACGUUUAACGACUGAGGAACUAGCACGGUUCAUGGGUUCAGUCCUUCGAUAGAGGUGCGCUGAACUUACAUCGAGCCUGUCUUUGACCGCAGUGUCCAGCAUGGUGAGGUCUGUGAGGAAGAUACCCAGGUAGGGCACGGUGCCCUGGGCGGUGGACUGUAUUCAGACGACAACAACAACAACAACAACAUCAACAACAACAACAGAGAGGGGUUCCAUCAGUUCCCCAGAGAUUUCUAUCCACAUCGUAAAGAGCAAAGACAGCGAGGGAUUUCAGAGCGGCCAGCCCUGCAGCUGUACUUCAAACGUCGAACUCGCUGCUGGCUGCGCAGCGUUGUGGGGCAAAGGCACGACGCCAGAACCGCAUUGGCCAACUUGUUGAACUGACGUACGGUGGCCCGGACGGACCAACACACGCCUUCCCGCCCUUUCUUAUCCCUUUGGGACCACAGUGAGCCGAGGCAGUGGUACGGCACCAGACGGACAAACAGCUCCUGGGAAGUGACGAGCAUAUUGAAUCUAUAAAUAGCAGCCUACUUCCUAGAAAUCACUGAACAAAGAACGUGAAUCCUGCUUGAGUUUCCUGUUGACAAGAGUUUUGGUUUUCUGUGGGUGGUACCUUUCUGUUUGUAUUUGCAGCCGUGAUUGGGGCUGCUCUUGCUGUGCGUACCACUUUACUAUGUUUGUAUUGUAGAGCAGCAGCAAAUGAAGUGAGGUGUUAAGAAGUGAUGGAUGGAAAAGGGAAGGUUAAGACUAUGGAUAGUAGACUACCUGAACUAAUCUACACUAACUGUUGGAUGCAAAUUUCCAAAUAAACCAAAUUAUGUAUAGGUUUUCAUUGA